rnacentral:lncRNA from 1 species
UUAGUCUAGACUAGAAUCAAUUAUCAAUAUAUUUAUUGACAAUAUCAAUAUAAUUAGCUGAAAACUUAUCUAAUCACUUUAUGUCAAUUUUAAUAUAAUAAGACUAUCCUAAGAAUUGAGAGAAGAAGGAUGAGGGUUUAUUUGAAGAAUUUUGGAUCUCAACUAUUUCUUCUUGAGUAUUAAAUGAUUUAGAGGAUGAUUACUUGAUUAGAUUAAAUAUAUAAAAAUAGAAGGU